GGAACCAUCGAUAAUUUCGUUUCAUUCAACACUUCCUGUUUCAAAUUUCGUUUUUGUAUUUCUCCGAGUAAUCUAAUAACGAUAUGAUUGAGUCGACAUAUUCUGCUGCUCUAUUAUGACAACAUCUACCGAGAAUAGAGAUUGAUAACGAGAAGGGCAUGAAAUAUUCGAGUAACGAGUAAAACGCCUUGUCAUUUAACGCAAAUUGCGGUAGUCACAAGUGAAUCGAAAACCGUGUUUUUUCUUUAUUUAUACGAUGACUUUGUGUCAGGAAAUUUGGACUGUAAAUGAUAUCCAAAGCGCAAGAAUCGUAGAACAAAUUGGUACAAAAAACAUGACUGGAUUAAAGAAAUUGACACAAGCACGAAUUUGUUUGAUUUAUGACCGUAUAUUGAGAAAAAAAAGUCGACAAACACGCAUUUUAAUUCCCUUAUAUAUAGCUGUUGUUUUUGUUGACAAACAGCAAACACCCUCUGUAACUGUCCCAAUACCCUCAAUUUAGUCAUUAAAAAAACUACUUUUUGGUUAAGUUCAUGUUUUACAUCACAUAAUUACUUUCCACACUGAGUUUACAUUUUAUUUUGUACUCAUAAUACUUGUGUUGCAUACAAUUGUACCAAUACAUUACAUU
rnacentral:lncRNA from 1 species